UACAGAGGUCUCAAGCGUUGUUCGGAUUCAUUGGGCGUAAAGGGUGCGUAGGUGGCGAGGUAAGUUGGAUGUGAAAUCCCAGGGCUCAACCCUGGAACUGCAUUCAAUACUGCCUUGCUAGAGUACUGGAGAGGAGAUUGGAAUUUACGGUGUAGCAGUGAAAUGCGUAGAUAUCGUAAGGAAGACCAGUGGCGAAGGCGGAUCUCUGGAUAGUUCCUGACGCUGAAGCACGAAGGCCAGGGGAGCAAACGGG
rnacentral:rRNA from 1 species